CUAACAAAUAAUGCCUCUCAUUUAUUACACAAUCAUAAGAAUGUAAUUCUGUAACAUAACAAUAUCACACUCAAGCACACUAUAUGACAUUUUAGGUGAAAUGUUUAAAUUAAAACUAUAAAUUAUUACACCCAUAUUAUUACUCUACCAACCACACUCAAAGAUGCAUUACCUCUGCCUGGACCCUGUACAUUUGUACCUGGUAAUUCCCAGGCCUGGAAUCCCAGUCUCCUUUGUUUCUGAUUUUUAAGUCAAUAUACAUCCUUUCAGACUAAACACAAAAGUCAACUGUUCAAUGAGGUCUUCUCUCAUCAUCCCAGACAGAAAGCAGCAUUUUGAUCUGUAUAUUUGUGUUUCCCUGUAGGCUUUAGGUUGAUUCUGUGAUUGUACCAAUUAAGGGGCUCACUAGAUAGUAAGCACCUCCAAAGCAAGGAUAUUCUCUUCAUUGCUGAAUCUUCAGACCCUUAGGGAGACUUUUUUUAUAUAUGCUGUGUACCUGAUAAUGAGGAA